UGAUGUAUUGACAUACAUAUAAACAAGUGUUUCAAUUUAUAUGUUUGAUAUCACAUUUACAUACAUACACCACAAAACAAAACUCCCAAAAAUACUAACAAAUCAUUAGCCAUUUUCUUAAUGGAUUGUAGCCAACUUUCUCACUUCAAAAAAACGAAUUGGAUAAAACCCUGUUUCAUAUAAAUUUAUAUGUACGAGGAGCAUCAUUUUGCAAUAAUAGUAGUUUUUUCUAGAGCGAUAAUGGCCCAAGUUAUAUUAAUUAAAGCCCCACAGUGGACGGGAUUUGCUUCCACGAGACCACGAGAUCGAAUUUGGUCGCUCACAGUCGUCGUCGCGGCGUUCAACCGCCCCCGCCGCAGCACCACAAGUGGACUCACCGCUGUGCUGGAAGAUCAACCACAACAUCGGCCACAAGAUCCUCGGAAUUGAAAUCCGACGUAUUGUUGCGUUGAAUCCCACGCGCUGGAUCCCGAGGUGGGUAGAUCGCGGCUUCCGAGGUGGCAAUCCCAAACGCUGAGGCGUCGAUUUCUUGGCCCAGAAACUCGGAUUCUGUUCUUCAGUGUGUGAUCUCGAAGUGAGCGACGAGUUCCACGUUGCGGAGAUCUGUGUAAGUGGAGUUCAGUUCCACGUCGAUUGCAUUGGCUUUCUUCCGUCGCCGUGUCAUUCUCUGCUGUGAACCACUUCUGCUCGACUGCAUUCCUGUGGUUACUUCGCUGGAUCACUCACUGGAUCGACGAAGCCAUUUUCGGGCACGCGGAGCACCUUGUGAGCACUGCUGCACAUGUACGAGUGGUCUUUGCGUUCGAAUCCUAGGUAACCUGGGUGCGAAACUGCGUAAACUGCAUUUUACAGACGUUGCAUUGGGGCUUACGUCGCCCAGCUGAUUAUGACUUUGUUCCAGAAAUCGUUGAAACUGUUCAUAGUCUUUUGAGUGUUGUGAUACUAGUCCGAGAAAGGACAGCACAAUUGCUCUACCUAGUCAACCUAUUUUCCAAGUACGACAGAAACCGUGUGGUUCUGCACUUGGGCGAAGUGAUCUCUCAACCUCGAGUCCAAAAAAAACCUGCUGUCGCUAAAAAGGUCUUUUACUGUUCAUUUCAGUGCCCAGCAAACCCUUCAAGUCGUAGUCAUUUGAAGGGAAUUCAGAGACGAAGAAGUGUUGGAGUGUCUAGCCUGGUUGUUCCAACCGCGCAGGCAGCUACAUCACAUACUGAUCGCUCAAGAUCGAGAGCACAGAACACUGGUGCUAUACAGCUCCGCUUUCCAAGCUCCCCCCAGGAAGAAAGUAAAGCCCCGUGGACCGCCAAGCUUCGACUGCGGUAGGACUCUGGACCUGUACGAGGGUGGACUGCACGCUGUCACACAACUGGGUGGCGCUUAUGGUGGUUCAUCUCCCUUCCUUGCACUCCGCCCAAGUACUCUGAGCUCGCAGCUGAUCUCUCUCUAGAACGUUGGCGAAGCUCACCUCAGAAGAUAAAGCAAGUACUACGAUACAUCGUAAACACAAUCUGGAGAUUUGUAACUGACCAAAACCCUCUGGCAACUAAUCUUCAUCCAACGCUGCGUUCAUGAUGUGUACGUAUCCUACGAGAAUCCGAUGCUCAGUUCGUAGGUAGCAAUGCUCAUCAUUUCCUAAAACACAAGCUCCUCGGCGUACCUGGGAUGCAAGUACUGUCAGGCAGGGCACACGGUAGGUACUUGGACUAGAUUAACACUUCUUUAUUGAACACGUUAAACAAGCAUUAAACUUCUCUGAGGAGAAGGGUACACAAAAUCCAGGCGGAAGAUCUGGCUUGACUAUUAGUAAUUAUGGCGAAGAAAAUUUACCGUAUUCAUCUCCCAAGGUGGAUUUAAUCUGAGCUUGCACUCGAGGCUUUAAAAUUAGUUCCGUGAUCACAAUGCAGUGUUUGCAGAACCAAGU
rnacentral:lncRNA from 1 species